UCGAACGAUGAUGCCCAGCUUGCUGGGCGGAUUAGUGGCGAACGGGUGAGUAAUACGUGAGUAACCUGCCCUUGACUCUGGGAUAAGCCUGGGAAACUGGGUCUAAUACUGGAUACUACCUCUUGCCGCAUGGUGGGUGGUGGAAAGGGUUUUACUGGUUUUGGAUGGGCUCACGGCCUAUCAGCUUGUUGGUGGGGUAAUGGCUCACCAAGGCGACGACGGGUAGCCGGCCUGAGAGGGUGACCGGCCACACUGGGACUGAGACACGGCCCAGACUCCUACGGGAGGCAGCAGUGGGGAAUAUUGCACAAUGGGCGGAAGCCUGAUGCAGCGACGCCGCGUGAGGGAUGACGGCCUUCGGGUUGUAAACCUCUUUCAGUAGGGAAGAAGCGAGAGUGACGGUACCUGCAGAAGAAGCGCCGGCUAACUACGUGCCAGCAGCCGCGGUAAUACGUAGGGCGCAAGCGUUGUCCGGAAUUAUUGGGCGUAAAGAGCUCGUAGGCGGUUUGUCGCGUCUGCUGUGAAAGCCCGGGGCUCAACCCCGGGUCUGCAGUGGGUACGGGCAGACUAGAGUGCAGUAGGGGAGACUGGAAUUCCUGGUGUAGCGGUGAAAUGCGCAGAUAUCAGGAGGAACACCGAUGGCGAAGGCAGGUCUCUGGGCUGUUACUGACGCUGAGGAGCGAAAGCAUGGGGAGCGAACAGGAUUAGAUACCCUGGUAGUCCAUGCCGUA
rnacentral:rRNA from 1 species